AUUUACUGUGUAAUCUAUUCAGAGCAUUUGCCUUGUAUGGCACUGUUUUUGUUCUGUUUUUGUCAGUAGUGUCAAUUUUCUGUUCAAAGUUUGUUUACAUAUCUAGUCUGAUUUUGCUCAUCUUAGCAUAAAGGGUUUUUUUGGUUUUUUUUGUGGUGGUUAACGUGGACCCAGUGGCUACAAACAUUUCAGACAGAGUUAAUUCCUUAGGUAUGAACCAAUGCUUCUGUCUUUCUCAGUCUGAAACAACUGGUCUCCAUUUAUAUCGCCUACAUAAAAGGCAGUAGUGAGUUUUAGAUUUACUGCCCAUUUGGAAACAAGAAUGAAAUUUGAGUCUUUUAGCCAAAAGAGGUGUUGCACUGUUCCAUUGCUUCAAAGAAUACAUCUCUGAGCCACAGUACAAAAGAUAAAGGUACAACCUUUUAUAAAGACGACCUUUCAUUUAUUUUCAGCUUUACGAAAACAGUCUGUUAGGAAAAGUAUUAAAGACAAAAAUUGCCAAAAUUACCAAAGAACUAUUUUAAUGUAUAAAUACAAAAUGAAGAAUGUGAAAUACCAAAGUGUUUAUCUUCUUAGCAGUAGAAUGCCGUUUGAUGUGCACUGGAACAUACAUUAAACUCCUGGUUACAGAAUGUCCCCUACGUGGUUUACACAGCUCAUCUCUCUGUGAGCAAAGCAUCUCUUGGAAAAUUGUUUAGUAAUUAUUAAGGCUGUUCUUUUUCUUUGUGAGCGCCAUUUUCGUGUGAAAAUGUGUUUAACUUUAAACCAAAGUUUGUUGUUAGAGUAAUAUUUAAAGACAUUGUAUUAGAAAAUUCUAUUAGUUUUAUAGAACAUAUUUAAUCAUCCAACCUCUCUGUUAUACAGUUUGGAGUCAACAUAAUAAAAACACUUUUUUUGUUAUUUUAAUAUUAAUUCAGACCAAAGAAUUAAAGAAUGUCAUGAUUGGGAAUUUCAAUUAUUGCAAGUAGGCAAACUCGCUCACCCUGUGGCCUAAACAAUCAGUGUUCCUCUUUAUUAACCCUCCAUGUGCCAAAGGGAUGAGAGUGCACUCAUGUUUCGGUAGCUUAAAAAGGACCUGGGAAACUACAAAAACAGGUGAUACCUCAAUAAUAAAAAAAAACUAUUAACAGCUAUAUUUAUGGGUUAAUUUCUUUACAAAAGCUGCAAACCAAAGCUGAUUAGACAUCCUUUUUGUUUUAGUGAUUUUUUUAUUUUUUUUAUUCACUCCAACCUGCAUUAGAUGUUCGUUUCUGCUUCUCUGGUGUUUAAUGAUUCAUACCUGCUUCACUUUGAUUUUUCACAGGAUUUGAUCUUUAGAGGUGUUCCGACAUUAAAUCUCUCAUCUGUGGGAUUAUAUGUCACGUUGUAUUGGUGCCAAACUGUGCUGAAACACUCCUAACUACCUCGACUAAAGGAAUGUCCUUACUGCAUUCUGUAUCUUGGGAGUCCCUGACCGUUAAUAAUGUCUGAUUGAUGUUCAGUAAAGAUAUCUCUUCUUCUAACAGCCAAGGGACAGCUGUUGUGGUUAAUCAUUAAGGAGUGGAUGUCAUUAGUACUGUCAUUAGAGAACUUGUAAUUUUGAAAACCGAAAUUAAAUAUGCCCAAUCCAUUUAUCUCUGAUUGUUUAAACCUUCCUGAGAUGCAAGUGUAGCUUCAGAAAAAAAAAAGAAUAUGGUGGAAAAAGAUUGUUACCCUUUUAAAGCCUUCUCACCCGCAACCACCAGAUUUUAUACAGAGAAAAAAUAAGGGAAAACAGUUUGCAGUAUUGGACUGUAGGAAUGUGAAUAAUUCUUUAUUUCUUUAUGUAUAAAAGAUUUCAAUCAAACUGUUUUCUUUUGUGAUUUCAUACAGUUGUAACACACUUUACAUUGCAGAACCAAUGAAGAAUUUAGUGUGUUUGUUCAUUGCCAUUGGAUGUGGUACAUGUUGUCACUAGGGUAAAUCCAUUGAAAUUAAGAAAAUUAAGGGAGUUGCAGUUAGCCAAAAGUACAUAAUGGUAAAUGAAGACAAUACAAUGUGUGUGUGUGUGUGUGUGUGUAUGUAUGUAAUGAAAACAAAAAUAGUAUUGCAUUAUGCAGUGAUACCUUGUUUAAAUGAACAAACAUAUUGAAAGCUAAGUACUUUUAAUAUGCAGAGUUAGUCUAAUUAAAAAAAGAUCUCUGUGGUGUGAUUUUUUUGAAUUUAACAUAAUUUGCUAUCUAGGAUUAACUUCUUUCGGUGGUACACUCCUGCCCUAAAUUAUCGCAUAAUUAUGUGAUUGUUCUUUGUGAUAUUGCAUUUAUUAUAAAGUCAUGCAUGCAUUAUAUUCCUAUAUUUAAACAAAUAAUAUGUAAGAAGGGAAAAAGCUAGCACUGCAUACUGCAAUAUUCUUUUUUUUUUUUUUGCCAUCUGAAUUUCUUAAUUAACAUGCCUACACUAUUCUAGACACACAGAGGCAUAUAUACACCUACAAUCUAGGCAAUGAGCACUCUAAACCAGUUUAAAUGUGACAUUGUCCAUUUUCUCAUGAUUGUAUGUAAACUAUGUUUAAUCCAUCAAAAUGAUCAAGAUUACACUGCAGUUUUUUCAUUAACAUGGCAUGCUAAGUGUCUUCUUUGUAUUUUGUUUUGAAUACAUUUAUACAUACAUUGUUUUGAAUUUAAACACCCAGGCACAACUAGGGAUAGCCCCAAAUGUAAAGAAAAAUGUAAGAAAGUUAUAGUGGAGACCGCCACAAUUUCAAUCUAAACACGCAUACUUAAUAUAAAUACACAGAUCUAGAUCACUGCUGUUCUGUAUCUAUAUAGCUGCAUACACCCAAUUACACACAAACCAACUUGUUUCAGCAAUUUCAGCAACUUUUUCCAGCACCCUUUUUAAACCCUAUGAGGAACAACAAAUGUGAAACACAGCUAGUAAAUUGUAUGUAAUUCUGUAAUUGACUGGCUUGAGCUGUGGAUUUAGGUCAGGAAAUGAAUACAUCAUAAUAAAGAAUUCUCUAUUGGCAUAAAAGGGCUUAUCUUGCAAUGAAACACAAGCGUUGUGUGUUACUCAAGGGGUUAGUGUUAGAGGCAUACCACUUCCAAACAAUGCUGGCUUUGUGGAUGUAAUUAUUUCCAAGUGUUUUGGACUAAAACUGCCAGAUCCGUUAUGGGGUAUGUCCCUUUUCUCUGACAAUAUCACCUUGUUUAUACCCCGCUUGGUUUGCAUCUUAAAAUUCUGGAAUUUGAAUCCCUACCUAAAAAUAAUGAUGUUCUUCUAUUUUGACUUUCACAGAAUUGCUGUUUUAGAGCUUAGACUUGCACACUGUGUACAGCUUUCUGUCUACCGUGUCUCAUAUUUACAUUUUUUUUUUUCUUUCUGAUGGAUGGUGUAUUUGUGGUGCAGUGUGGAUAUGAUGUACUUUUUUUAAGGCCUUUGAAAUGUCAUGGGUUUUAAAAUGCACUACGAAAACUGAAGAAUGUGUUUACUUGUAAAUGUAAUGCGAUUUAAAAAAAAAAAAAAAUCUUGCAUCAUUUUAAACUUUGGAAUAAAGAAGUGAUGUGUAUCUCUGAUUCAAUCUUUACUGGGUAAUUUCCUUUUUUUUGUACAUUUUCUGAGUUUUGAUGACCUUUUGUUUAAUUGAUUUGUGCUACUUUUAUAUCAGAUAUUACUACAAUACAUAAUCAUUAGUUGUAUCUAUUAUGUUUGGAGAAUCAACAGCAUACUGCAGGUCUAGAUCCUCUGAAACACAACUUAAAGAAGAACUGUCACAUCUGAGGUUUUUGCAAAACCUGAUCACUAACUGAAAGCUAGCUAUGGGUUGUAUUAUUUCUAAUUAUUGAAUUGUAUACCAUUAUUAUUUUUUAAUUUACAUUACAAACCAAUGGGUGCUCAGGAGGUAAGUUGUUUUUUUUUGUUUCUUGUUUUCAUACACUUCCCCUCAGCUGCACUUCUUACCACAGUAAAUGUGUAAGUAAAGUUUACAGAGGAGAUGAGAAAUGUUUCCUCUCAGAGAAGUGACAGCUCUUCUUUAAUUUGUCAGACACAAACACAAUGACACAGUAGGACACAGCUUGCACUCUAAUGACCAUUAACAAAUAUACAUAUUUUGUCGUGUAAUAAACUAUUGACUGAAAAAUAAAAUGAUGGUAUUUGUCUUCUCGGUAACAAAUAUUUUAUAUCUAAAUGUAAAGAUAAAGAUCAAUAUUCCAUUUAUUUACAGUAAAAAAACAAGUGUGUGUGUUUGUGUGUAUAUAUACAUACAUGCGCACCAAUUUUUUUCACUUUAUGUGAAAUGCAAAUUAUGUCAUGUAAGACCAAUUACAAGAAUUUGUUAGGUCUUUUUGUUUAUAACCUGAAAUAUAAAUUCUGGUACUACAGCUGGUGUAAAUUGUCCUGUCUACACCAAUAUUUUUUUUUUAUGGACCAGGUUUACAUCCAUAAUACUAGCUUUAAAGUUGUAAUGCAUUCCCUCACCACUAGGGACACAAAGCCCUGGCUCCCAAUAGUUAAUAUCCUUAGGGGAAAAAGUUAAUGACCUCAACAUUAACAGUGUGUGCAACAUGUUCGUCAUCAAUUAGAACUUAAUAAUGUUUUUUGCUAUUACUGUGUAUUCUCUAUUUACAUUCAUUGUGUUGUGUGAUUUUGUUCAUCUUUGUAGAAUAAUCAUCUAAAGCCAUAAAAAAAAAAAAAAAAAAUCCUGUAUCCCAUUGGUUACUAAAUGUUCAGCCAUUCAACCUUCCAUCGCUUUUUUUUAUUUUUUUUUAUGUGUAUAUAUAUUUUUUUACUGUAUGUGAUCAUAGAUGUCUAUCUCAUGCUUCUUCUAUGCUCGAAUAUCUUACAUUUCACUAUUCCAACAUGAAGUGCUGGCUUGCUCGUAUGAAUUACAUUUUCCAAAAAGUGGUACUGCAUCCUCUUUAGGACGUUCUUGUCAGACCGUGUUACGCUCUCUGUAACCAUUUCUACCUCAUUUUGCAAAGUCUUGUACAUGAAGUAUUUAUUUCAUGUCUUUUUAAAGUUGGGAUGCUCUUGAGCUGUAAUGGUCUACCUCAAAAAUACUGUAUUUUGAAAAAACAAAAAAAGUAUUACACAGUAUUAAAGAGAUUAU